GUGCCAGCCGCCGCGGUAAGACGAACCGUGCGAACGUUGUUCGGAAUCACUGGGCAUAAAGGGCGCGUAGGCGGCUUUUCAAGUCAGGGGUGAAAUCCGGCAGCUCAACUGUCGAAGUGCCCUUGAUACUGAUGAGCUCGAGGGAGGUAGGGGUGUGUGGAACUUCCGGUGGAGCGGUGAAAUGCGUUGAUAUCGGAAGGAACGCCGGUGGCGAAAGCGACGCACUGGACCUCUUCUGACGCUGAGGCGCGAAAGCUAGGGGAGCAAACGGGAUUAGAUACCCCGGUAGUCC
rnacentral:rRNA from 1 species